UACGAAGGGGGCGAGCGUUGUUCGGAUUUACUGGGCGUAAAGGGCGCGCAGGCGGCUCAUUUUGUCAGGCGUGAAAGCCCCGGGCUUAACCUGGGAACUGCGUUUGAUACGGGUGGGCUAGAGUUCGGGAGAGGAGCGUGGAAUUCCCAGUGUAGAGGUGAAAUUCGUAGAUAUUCGCAAGAACACCAGUGGCGAAGGCGGCUCACUGGCCCGAUACUGACGCUGAGGUGCGAAAGCGUGGGGAGCAAACAGG
rnacentral:rRNA from 1 species